rnacentral:rRNA from 1 species
GAGGAAGGCGGGCGGCGUGCCUAAUACAUGCAAGUCGAGCGAACGGACGAGAAGCUUGCUUCUCUGAUGUUAGCGGCGGACGGGUGAGUAACACGUGGAUAACCUACCUAUAAGACUGGGAUAACUUCGGGAAACCGGAGCUAAUACCGGAUAAUAUUUUGAACCGCAUGGUUCAAAAGUGAAAGACGGUCUUGCUGUCACUUAUAGAUGGAUCCGCGCUGCAUUAGCUAGUUGGUAAGGUAACGGCUUACCAAGGCAACGAUGCAUAGCCGACCUGAGAGGGUGAUCGGCCACACUGGAACUGAGACACGGUCCAGACUCCUACGGGAGGCAGCAGUAGGGAAUCUUCCGCAAUGGGCGAAAGCCUGACGGAGCAACGCCGCGUGAGUGAUGAAGGUCUUCGGAUCGUAAAACUCUGUUAUUAGGGAAGAACAUAUGUGUAAGAAACUGUGCACAUCUUGACGGUACCUAAUCAGAAAGCCACGGCUAACUACGUG